CUUCGAGUUUAUAUCUUGUCUUUGAAUAUAUGGAACAUGAUCUCACCGGACUUGCAUCACUACCCGGUGUCAAGUUCACAGAGCCACAGGUUCAAAGCUUACUGCUGCAGAAACUAACCAAGAAAAGCUUCUUGUUCUUCCCAAGGUCUUUGUGGGAUCAGAAUGGUUAAUGGAGAGUAUGAGAGUUAUGGAAGAUGAGAUAUGCUAUCAGGCAAAAGAAUGUAAUUAUAGACAUAGUUGAACAUGCACAUUCUUUUAGUUAUCAAUCCUCUUUUAAUGGAUUAUAAUGCAGAAGAAAGCUAGAGUGAAAAAAGACAAGACCGUUGAGAACGAAGACUUAAAGAAAGCAAGGUGGGAAUGAAGACUUAAAGAAAGCAAGGUGGGAGUGUUGAGAAUGAAGACUUGUAGUUUUUUGUAUGGAUGUUGGAGAUGUUGUAAAAUAAUGGAUCUUUUGUGGAUGUUGGAUGGUUGAUUAUUAUCAAUGAUUAAAUGAUAUUUUCAAUA